rnacentral:rRNA from 1 species
UACGUAGGUGGCAAGCGUUAUCCGGAAUUACUGGGCGUAAAGCGCACGCAGGCGGCGCAGCAAGUUCGACGUGAAAGCUCCCGGCUUAACUGGGAGAGGUCGUUGAAGACUGCUGUGCUUGAGGCAAUGAGAGGGGUGUAGAAUUCCCGGUGUAGCGGUGAAAUGCGUAGAGAUCGGGAGGAACACCCGUGGCGAAGGCGGCCAUCUGGACCAGCACUGACGCUGAGGCACGAAAGCGUGGGGAGCAAACAGG